rnacentral:lncRNA from 1 species
GUCAUAAGGAAAUAUUUGCUUUUUUGUUUGUUUUUACAGCCAAAACAGCAAAGAAAGAAGUAAAAGUACCUGUGAAAAACAUAUCUGUGGAAACUCAGAAGUCGAAAGCAGCACUUGAAAAAAAGGAAGAAAAAACAAUGAAGGCAGCAGAGCAAGGUAAAAAAGAAAACAAAGCAUGUUGGCACCAUUUCUGUUAAAAAGACAAUGGCACAGAGAGGA